GUCAGAUAGAAGCACAGGAACAAUGCUGGAGUGUUAUGGUAACCAAAGUAUCCCAUGUACCUGACUCAAGAAAAUGAUUCCUGUGAUGCAGGAAUUUUAUCAGCUAUUGCCUCCUUCCAGAGAACAUGUAAACUCUUGAGGCAUAUUUCAUGGGGAGUGACUGCUGCUGUGUAAAACAUUUAGCAAACAACAGUCAAUACAGGUAGCUGCAGGAAGCAGGGUGAACUUUUAUCCCUACAGAAGAAAAUGGCAAGCUCCAGCUGAGUAAAAUGAUGAGGAAAUGGAAACAAAAUUGCUGGGUGAGACAAAUUUGGGAACAUGCUAACACACAGGUGUGAAGGCUGAAACUGUGUGUUAAUAGGUCUAAAGCUAGAGGAGAGAAUUAAAGUAAGCCUACAGAAUCCUUUGAGAAAUGGCAGUUAUGUUUACAGUUGUCAUCCCAGGCCACUCCUAUCCAGCCACUGAUUUGCUACAUUUGUCCUCCCGGGAUUCCACCCGCUCCUCCAUAAAAGACGCUGUUUUUCACUGUUUCCCUGCUCUUUUGCUGCUGCCCGCUUUGAGCUUGCGUCUCGCCCGGCGCAGCACAGUGGUCUGUAGCUUCGGCGUGCUCCUCCACUGCAAGAGAAAAAACACCCACGCAGCGCAGCAUCAGCAGCCGUGGCUCCUGCCACAGGAGAAAGCUUUGCCACUGCCUGCACUGCCCUGCUCCUCCCGUGGGAGAAAGCUGCACCACUGCCCGCGCUGCCCCACUCCUGCUGCAGUAAAGAUAGCGGCCGCUGCCUGCACAACUCCUGCUGUGAUAAGGAUCACCUGCGUGGCCAGUCCCGCCUGCGCUGCCUCUGCUGCCACCACUGCCCAUGUGCUGUUGUGUCACCUGCCUCGCUUUAGCGCUG